GAUGAACGCUGGCGGCGUGCCUAAUACAUGCAAGUCGAGCGAAGCGGGGACGGGUGAGUAAUACGUGGAUAACCUCCUAUAAGACUGGGAUAACUUCGGGAAACCGGACCAAAACCGGAAAUUUAUUAAUGGAUCCUCGCUGCAUUAGCUAGUUGGUAAGGUAACGGCUUACCAAGGCAACGAUGCAUAGCCGACCUGAGAGGGUGAUCGGCCACACUGGAACUGAGACACGGUCCAGACUCCUACGGGAGGCAGCAGUGGGGAAUCUUCCACAAUGGGCGAAAGCCUGACGGAGCAACGCCGCGUGAGUGAUGAAGGUCUUCGGAUCGUAAAGCACUGUUAUUAGGGAAGCGGUACCGAAUCAGAAAGCCACGGCUAACUACGUGCCAGCAGCCGCGGUAAUUC
rnacentral:rRNA from 1 species